GACGAACCGUGCGAACGUUGUUCGGAAUCACUGGGCUUAAAGGGCGCGUAGGCGGCUUGACAAGUCAAAGGUGAAAUCCCUCGGCUCAACUGAGGAACUGCCUUUGAAACUGUCUGGCUUGAGGCCGGGAGGGGGUAGCGGAAUUCCCAGUGUAGCGGUGAAAUGCGUAGAUAUUGGGAGGAACACCAGUGGCGAAGGCGGCUACCUGGACCGGUUCUGACGCUGAUGCGCGAAAGCGUGGGUAGCAAACAGG
rnacentral:rRNA from 1 species